GCCUGAGUGGUGAAAUAGGUAGACACAACGGACUUAAAAUCCGUCGGCGGGUCAAACUGCCGUACCGGUUCGAUUCCGGUCUCAGGCACCA
rnacentral:tRNA from 1 species